AUUCCGGUUGAUCCUGCCGGAGGCCAUUGCUAUCGGAAUCCGAUUUAGCCAUGCUAGUCGCACGGGUUAGACCCGUGGCGAACAGCUCAGUAACACGUGGCCAAACUACCCUGUGGACGGGGAUAAUCUCGGGAAACUGAGGCUAAUCCCCGAUAGGGCUUCCAUCCUGGAGUGGAGGAAGUCCGAAAGGUUGCGCUGCGGCACCACAGGAUGUGGCUGCGGCCGAUUAGGUAGACGGUGGGGUAACGGCCCACCGUGCCAGUAAUCGGUACGGGUGAUGAGAGUCAGAGCCCGGAGACGGUAUCUGAGACAAGAUACCGGGCCCUACGGGGCGCAGCAGGCGCGAAACCUUUACACUGCACGACAGUGCGAUAGGGGGAUUCCGAGUGCGAGGGCAUACAGUCCUCGCUUUUCUGGAUCGUAAGGAGAUGCAAGAAUAAGGGCUGGGCAAGACCGGUGCCAGCCGCCGCGGUAAUACCGGCAGCCCGAGUGAUGGCCGAUAUUAUUGGGCCUAAAGCGUCCAUAGCU
rnacentral:rRNA from 1 species